UUAUGCCCUGGGCCACACACGUGCUACAAUGGCCGGUACAGCGGGAUGCGAAGCCGUGAGGUGGAGCCAAUCCCUUAAAGCCGGUCUCAGUUCGGAUUGCAGGCUGCAACUCGCCUGCAUGAAGGCGGAAUCGCUAGUAAUCGCGGAUCAGCAUGCCGCGGUGAAUACGUUCCCGGGCCUUGUACACACCGCCCGUCACACCACGGGAGCCGGCAACACCCGAAGCCGGACCUCCCAACCCGGCACUCAAGUGGGCAUGUUAGAAACGUGAUGAAGAGAAAAAAACGUGCCCACUUGAGUGCCGGGAGGGAGCCGUCGAAGGUGGGGCUGGUGACUGGGGUGAAGUCGUAACAAGGUAGCCGUACGGGAACGUGCGGCUGGAUCACCUCCUUUCUAAGGAG
rnacentral:rRNA from 1 species